rnacentral:rRNA from 1 species
AUUGAACGCUGGCGGCAUGCCUUACACAUGCAAGUCGAACGGUAACAGGUCUUCGGAUGCUGACGAGUGGCGAACGGGUGAGUAAUACAUCGGAACGUGCCUAGUAGUGGGGGAUAACUACUCGAAAGAGUGGCUAAUACCGCAUGAGAUCUACGGAUGAAAGCAGGGGAUCGCAAGACCUUGUGCUACUAGAGCGGCCGAUGGCAGAUUAGGUAGUUGGUGGGAUAAAAGCUUACCAAGCCGACGAUCUGUAGCUGGUCUGCGAGGACGAUCAGCCACACGGGGACUGAGAAACGGCCCAGACUCCUACGGGAGGCAGCAGUGGGGAAUUGUGGACAAUGGGCGCAAGCCUGAUCCAGCAAUGCCGCGUGCAGGAUGAAGGCCUUCGGGUUGUAAACUGCUUUUGUACGGAACGAAAAGCCCCGGGUUAAUACCCUGGGGUCAUGACGGUACCGUAAGAAUAAGCACCGGCUAACUACGUGCCAGCCGCCGCGGUAA